AGGGAAACGCUGACUGGGCGGUCUGGGUCACUACCGGAAGUGGGGGAAACCCCGCCUGAAGCCGCUGCCGGAAGUUAGAAAAGCCCUCACAGGGAGCCGCUGCUUCGACGUGGAACCCACAGAAGACUGAAACCUAGAAAAGGAUGCCUUCAGUUCUCACCAGCUGGCUGCCCUGGAAUGGCCCAAGAAAAUUUCCAGACUGUCUAGAAGUCUUGGAAAUUAAUGAUGAUUGCUCAGAUAGUUGUAUUCCUGCCAUCCAUGUGCAAGACCCUGAUAGAAACCCCUGCUCCCAGCUUCAGCCUGACUCAGCCCAAUCUGUUCCGUGCAUUUGCAGGUGCUUAUGAAACACACCUUGGGAAGCACAGCUGCAUUGGCUGGAUGAUGCUUCCGAAAGACGUCUGUGCAAAAUAUUACAUCCUUUACUUCUGAUGGUUAAUCCAGGACGACCUCUGACACU